UCAAAUCAGGUAGGACUACCCGCUGAACUUAAGCAUAUCAAUAAGCGAAGGAAA
rnacentral:rRNA from 1 species